GUUCCUGUAGCGCAGCGGAUAGCGCGUUGGACUUCUAAAUUUCAAAAAUCGUGGUUUCGAAUCCCAUCUGGGAUG